GACGAACGCUGGCGGCGUGCCUAAUACAUGCAAGUCGAACGCAGUGGGGACGGGUGAGUAACACGUGGUUAACCUCCCCAUCAGCUUGGAUAACCCUUGCAAACAGGUGCUAAAUCUAUACUGAUGGCUGGACCCGCGGUGCAUUAGCUUGUGGGUGAGGUAACGGCUCACAAAGGCCACGAUGCAUAGCCGACCUGAGAGGGUGACAGGCCACACUGGAACUGAGACACGGCCCAGACUCCUACGGGAGGCAGAAGUAGGGAAUCUUCGGCAAUGGGCGAAAGCCUGACGGAGCAACGCCGCGUGAGUGAUGAAGGUUUUCGGAUCGUAAAACUCUGUUAUUAGGGAAGCGGUAUCUAACCAGAAAGCCACGGCUAACUACGUGCCAGCAGCCGCGGUAAUUC
rnacentral:rRNA from 1 species